AAAGUCAAAAAUCGGCAAAACGACCACAUGGCAGUGAACUUCAGUCCACUUUCUUCAUCUUCGUCUCCUGUCAAUCCAGUUGAUGUGUAUGUCAAUCUUGGCUGGUACUAAAUGCUAUUUUUAUACCAUUCUGCUCCAACAGUACAUGCGCAGGUCCAUGCAUGUCCCAUCAAAUCAUUCUCCCAGAAAGAGAAUGUGUCUGUCAAGGUCAGAAGCCAAAAGCAAGUAAUGUCUGUUGAAGCAAAGACACCACCUCUAGAAAGUCUUAGCAAUGAAGUUGCUAGGAAUGGAUCAGUUGAUAAGGAGAAUACCAUGCCAUCUGCAUUUUCUGAGGAGGAGGCAGUAACAAUUGAACAUGACUUACCAGUGAUAGAAUACGUGGCCCCUGAGGAUAGUGAUUGUGAUGAGUUGGACUAUUUCAAAUGGUUAAAGGUUUAUUUUCAACGGAUAUAAUAGUAGAUGAAGGAAUAUCAAACCCACAUGUGGAAGUGUCAACACCGGAGGAAGUUACAGACACUUCUAUGUUACAGUUUUGGUGUCCUGAGACUGGUCUUGAGAUUGAAGAAAUUCCUUAUGACCUUUUUUUAACACUGAAAAUAACUAAUAUAUACAUAAUAUUUUGAUUCAUCAUGAUACUGAAUGAUGAAAUCAAUGAUACUUUAGUUUAAUGAUAUUUGAAAUGAUCGUAAAA